UACGAGGGGGGCAAGCGUUGUUCGGAAUUAUUGGGCGUAAAGGGCGCGUAGGCGGCGCGGUAUGUCACCUGUGAAAUCUCCUGGCUCAACUGGGAGCUUGCAGGCGAAACUGCCGUGCUGGAGUGUGGGAGAGGUGCGUGGAAUUCCUGGUGUAGCGGUGAAAUGCGUAGAUAUUAGGAAGAACACCGGUGGCGAAGGCGGCCAUCUGGCGUCGGUACUGACGCUCGAGGCGCGAAAGCGUGGGGAGCAAACAGGAUUGAG
rnacentral:rRNA from 1 species